CCUACGGGAGGCAGCAGUGGGGAAUAUUGGACAAUGGGGGGAACCCUGAUCCAGCCAUGCCGCGUGUGUGAAGAAGGCCCUCGGGUUGUAAAGCACUUUCAGUGAGGAAGAACGCCUGGUGGUUAAUACCCAUCAGGAAAGACAUCACUCACAGAAGAAGCACCGGCUAACUCCGUGCCAGCAGCCGCGGUAAUACGGAGGGUGCGAGCGUUAAUCGGAAUUACUGGGCGUAAAGCGCGCGUAGGUGGCUUGAUAAGCCGGUUGUGAAAGCCCCGGGCUCAACCUGGGAACGGCAUCCGGAACUGUCAAGCUAGAGUGCAGGAGAGGAAGGUAGAAUUCCCGGUGUAGCGGUGAAAUGCGUAGAGAUCGGGAGGAAUUCCAGUGGCGAAGGCGGCCUUCUGGACUGACACUGACACUGAGGUGCGAAAGCGUGGGUAGCAAACAGGAUUAGAUACCCUAGUAGUC
rnacentral:rRNA from 1 species